rnacentral:rRNA from 1 species
UACAGAGGUCUCAAGCGUUUGUUCGGAUUCAUUGGGCGUAAAGGGUGUGUGAGGUGCGCCGUAGUCGGGUGAUGAAUCGUACGGGCUUAACUCGAACUGCAUCGAUACUGCGGUGCUUGAGGACUGGAGAGGAGACUGGAAUUCAUGGUGUAGCAGUGAAAUGCGUAGAGAUCAUGAGGAAGACCAGUGGCGAAGGCGGGUCUCUGGACAGUUCCUGACACUGAGACACGAAGGCCAGGGGAGCAAACGGG